CCUACGGGAGGCAGCAGUCGAGAAUCAUUCACAAUGGGGGAAACCCUGAUGGUGCGAAGCCGCGUGGGGGAAUGAAGGUCUUCGGAUUGUAAACCUCUGUCAUGUGGGAGCAAAUUAAAAAGAUAGUACCACAAGAGGAAGAGACGGCUAACUCUGUGCGAGCAGCCGCGGUAAUACAGGGGUCUCAAGCGGUGUUCGGAUUCCCUGGGCGUAAGGCGUGCGUAGGCGGGUUCGUAAGUCGGGGGUGAAAGGCGCGGGCUCAACCCGCGGACGGCACAGGAUACUGCGAGACUAGAUUAAGGGGGGGGGAGCGGGAAGUGUGGGGGUAGCAGGGAAAUGCGUAGAUA
rnacentral:rRNA from 1 species